UCUUGCCGGGGAUCUCGCUGGAUAACUUGCUUUAGAGACCUAGCACCAUGGCGUCAGGCUGCAAGAUUGGCCCGUCCAUCCUCAACAGCGACCUGGCCAGUUUAGGGGCCGAGUGCCUUCGGAUGCUGGACUCUGGGGCCGAUUAUCUGCACCUGGAUGUAAUGGACGGGCAUUUUGUUCCCAACAUCACCUUUGGUCACCCUGUGGUAGAAAGCCUCCGAAAGCAGCUAGGCCAGGACCCUUUCUUUGACAUGCACAUGAUGGUGUCCAGGCCAGAACAGUGGGUAAAACCAAUGGCUGUAGCAGGAGCCAAUCAAUAUACUUUUCAUCUCGAGGCUACUGAGAACCCGGGGGCUUUGAUCAAAGACAUUCGGGAGAAUGGAAUGAAGGUUGGCCUUGCUAUCAAACCAGGAACUACAGUUGAGUAUUUGGCACCAUGGGCUAAUCAGAUAGAUAUGGCCUUGGUCAUGACAGUGGAACCUGGGUUUGGAGGGCAGAAAUUCAUGGAAGAUAUGAUGCCAAAGGUAAAAGAAGUAUUUGGUUCUGGGGUUCACUGGUUGAGGACCCAGUUCCCGUCUUUGGACAUUGAGGUUGAUGGUGGAGUAGGUCCUGACACCAUCGUUAAAUGCGCAGAGGCAGGAGCUAACAUGAUUGUAUCUGGCAGUGCCAUUAUGAGGAGUGAAGACCCCAGAUCUGUGAUCAACCUGUUAAGAAAUGUUUGCUCAGAAGCUGCCCAGAAGCGUUCUCUCGAUCGAUGAAACCACAAGGAGUCCAGUGUUUCUGCUUGUGAGAUCUCCUUUUUACUGGAAAACAAGAAUAUUGACUACCAAAUCGUACCACAGUUGAGGCAGUGCUGCUUUGCUGAGCAAUUAUUCAUUCCAGUGACUAAAAUCCAUUUUGCAGAAUGUUCCAAGAGGUUAGAAAUUGUCUAGCUUUACCCUGUAGCAAAACCAGAUGGCUGAGAAUAUUCUGCAACUAUGGAUUUUGACUCCAAGGAUACGUAUUUUAUUAAUCCAAGAAAGACCAGCGGAAAAGCCCGUCGUUCCCACCCCAAAGACUGAAAGAGAAAACGGUUUCAGUUAAGUUUCAACUAAUUUAAGUUCAUGUCUCAAUCUGUAGAUGUCAGUUUUCUAAUAACCAUUGUUCUGUUCUUUAGCACAUAAAAGUACAAAUUCUCAUUUGGUCCUGAGUAUCUAGCAACUCAAAAUGGAACGUACUAAGGAUUACUUAGGGAUCUUUGGGAAUUAUAUUUUUCACUUUGCCUCUUCCACGGAGAGGGACACGCUGCCAUUAGGGCACUGGUCUUCAUUUUCAGCCUAGGAGCACUUUGGGGAAGGCCCUUUAAAAGUGUUUGGCUCGUCUUCCUCAGUAUCUCCAUUUUCAUCCCAUCAUUAUUCCAGACGCCUAUUGACUUUUCUAUCUCUGUGCUUUCUAUGACUUGCCUAUUAAUUUCUAUUGUCUCCAUUCUCUUGAUUCUAGAUAUGGUUCUUCUUUUCCAACACCUGCUGAUGAAGAAAAGUACAAGAACUUUAUAGAUGUAGUGCUAGAAAACACUCCCAUUGGGGUUAAAACUGGAGAAAUGGGGAGACAAGUAAAAAUCUUUUAUAAGGGGAAGAGAAAUAUCUAACAUUUACUAUGUGCCAGGUGUCAUUCUGUUUAAUCCGAUUUGGUUUGUUAAUGAAAUUCUG